GACGAACGCUGGCGGCGCGCCUAACACAUGCAAGUCGAACGGAAAGGCCUGCUUUCCCUUGUGGUUUGCUGGUACUCGAGUGGCGAACGGGUGAGUAACACGUGAAUGAUCUGCCCCCAACUUGGGUAUAAGCCCGGGAACCUGGGUCGAAUACCCGUUAGGACUGCAGGGUGGUGCCUUGAGUGGAGAACGAUUUGCUAGUGGUUGGGGAUGAGCUCGCGGACUAUCAGCUUGUUGGUGCGGUAACUGCCCACCAAGGCGGCGACGGGUAGCCGGCCUGUGAGGGUGGACGGCCACAUUGGGACUGGGAUACGGCCCAGACGCCUGCGGGCGGCAGGAGUGGGGAAUCUUGCACAGUGGGCGGAAGCCUGAUGCGGCGACGCCGCGUGGGAGAUGACGGCAUUCGGGUUGUAAGCUCCUUUCGACCGCGAGGAAGCCACCUGGUUGGAAGGGUGGUGACGGUAGUGGUAGAAGAAGCACCGGCUAACUACGUG
rnacentral:rRNA from 1 species